rnacentral:rRNA from 1 species
GAUGAACGCUGGCGGCGUGCCUAAUACAUGCAAGUCGAGCGAACAGACGAGGAGCUUGCUCCUCUGACGUUAGCGGCGGACGGGUGAGUAACACGUGGAUAACCUACCUAUAAGACUGGGAUAACUUCGGGAAACCGGAGCUAAUACCGGAUAAUAUAUUGAACCGCAUGGUUCAAUAGUGAAAGACGGUUUUGCUGUCACUUAUAGAUGGUUCCGCGCCGCAUUAGCUAGUUGGUAAGGUAACGGCUUACCAAGGCGACGAUGCGUAGCCGACCUGAGAGGCUGAUCGGCCACACUGGAACUGGGACACGGUCCAGACUCCUAUGGGAGGCCGCAGUAGGGAAUCUUCCGCAAUAGGCGAAAACUUGGCGGAGCAACGCCGCGUGAGUGAUGAAGGUCUUCGGUUCGUAAAACUCUGUUAUUAGGGAAGAACAGAUGUGUAAGUAACUAUGCACGUCUUGACGGUACCUAAUCAGAAAGCCCCGGCUAACUACGUG